AUAUUUUCUACAUCAUUGUGUGUGUUGAGGAACAGAAGUGUGCUUACAUGCUUCUCUUCUAGGCCUAUUUAUUGCUUUCAUCAUGUGUGGUUAUGACUCUGUUGGACUGUGACUGACACCUUCAAAAUAAACUGAAGGAAUAAGAACAACAAUGGGAAGAAAAUGCUCAGUUGGUGGAUGCAAAACUGGCUAUGACAGUCAGAAAGGUGCAGAAAAAGUGACCUUGUAUGGAUUUCCUUCGGAUGAAACAGAAUGUCGGGCAUGAACUGCUAGCUUACCAAACAUUUUAUCCUAUGAAAAGGUGUCAAAACAUAUCAGUGUGUGCCCUCCAUUUCCGUAAAACUCUAACUCAACUCAAGUCAACUUUCUGUCUUUCCAUCGCUUUUGUCUGUCUAGAAUAAUUUUUUACAUGUCCGUUAGUUUGAACACAAACACAGGGAAGCUAAACCAUUGA